GCCUGGGUGGCUCAGUCGGUUGAGCGUCCGACUUCAGCUCAGGUCGUGAUCUCACAGUUCGUGAGUUCGAGCCCCGCGUCGGGCU
rnacentral:tRNA from 1 species